rnacentral:rRNA from 1 species
AUUGAACGCUGGCGGCAGGCCUAACACAUGCAAGUCGAGCGAGAAAGCACUUCGGUGUGAGUAGAGCGGCGGACGGGUGAGUAACGCGUAGGAAUCUACCCAGUAGUGGGGGACAACAGUCGGAAACGGCUGCUAAUACCGCAUACGCCCUAUGGGGGAAAGCGGGGGAUCUUCGGACCUCGCGCUAUUGGAUGAGCCUGCGUCGGAUUAGCUAGUUGGUGGGGUAAAGGCCCACCAAGGCGACGAUCCGUAGCUGGUCUGAGAGGAUGAUCAGCCACACUGGGACUGAGACACGGCCCAGACUCCUACGGGAGGCAGCAGUGGGGAAUAUUGCGCAAUGGGCGAAAGCCUGACGCAGCCAUGCCGCGUGUGUGAAGAAGGCCUUAGGGUUGUAAAGCACUUUCAAUAGAGAGGAAAAGCUCAUGCCUAAUACGUAUGAGCCCUGACGUUACCUAUAGAAGAAGGACCGGCUAACUCCGUGCCAGCCGCCGCCGUAACAC